GUUGAACGCUGGCGGCAUGCCUUACACAUGCAAGUCGAACGGCAGCACGGGAGCAAUCCUGGUGGCGAGUGGCGAACGGGUGAGUAAUAUAUCGGAACGUGCCCAGUAGUGGGGGAUAACUGCUCGAAAGAGCAGAUAAUACCGCAUACGACCUGAGGGAGAAAGGGGGGGAUCGCAAGCCCUCUCGCCAUUUGAGCGGCCGAUAUCAGAUUAGCUAGUUGGUGGGGUAAAGGCCUACCAAGGCAACGAUCUGUAGUUGGUCUGAGAGGACGACCAGCCACACUGGGACUGAGACACGGCCCAGACUCCUACGGGAGGCAGCAGUGGGGAAUUUUGGACAAUGGGCGCAAGCCUGAUCCAGCAAUGCCGCGUGCAGGAAGAAGGCCUUCGGGUUGUAAACUGCUUUUGUCAGGGAAGAAAUCCUCUAGGUUAAUACCCUUGGGGGGAUGACGGUACCUGAAGAAUAAGCACCGGCUAACUACGUGCCAGCCGCCGCCGUAAUAC
rnacentral:rRNA from 1 species